rnacentral:other from 1 species
UAUACCCUGCGGUGUUCGUGACCGUGCCACAUGUUUUGAGCCAACAUAUUUUCUAUGGGAGCCUAGAGCUCCGUCUGUGGCUUGCGUGCCUGCCAAGAGCGGGAGCGAUAAGCAGACGGGAGGGCACCCACCUGCGCGAGCAGGUUCAAAACAGGGGCCUCCACGACAUUGUGGGGUGUUU